rnacentral:misc_RNA from 1 species
UUGCGUUCUCCCCUUCCUCGUAA